GGUCGCACGGUGUAGUUGGUUAUCACGCCAGCUUAACAAAUCUCGUAUUCUCCAUCAGGUUGAUCAGUCCCGCUGAAGGUCCUCAGUUCAAUCUUGAGUGCGGUCA